rnacentral:rRNA from 1 species
UGGGGGAUAUUGCACAAUGGGGGAAACCCUGAUGCAGCGACGCCGCGUGAGUGAAGAAGUCAUUCGUGAUGUAAAGCUCUAUCAGCAGGGAAGAAAAUGACGGUACCUGACUAAGAAGCCCCGGCUAACUACGUGCCAGCAGCCGCGGUAAUACGUAGGGGGCAAGCGUUAUCCGGAUUUACUGGGUGUAAAGGGAGCGUAGACGGCCAGGCAAGUCUGGAGUGAAAGCCCGGGGCUCAACCCCGGGACUGCUUUGGAAACUGUAGGGCUGGAGUGCAGGAGGGGUAAGCGGAAUUCCUAGUG